CUCAAUGUUCAAGCAAAGAAAGGUGAAAGUAAGGAUAGAGCAACUGAGUGAGAAUUCCUAUAGCUACGCCUUGAAGACACAUUCAGAUCAGCUCCAGGUAUAUCAUAGGUAUACCCAUGUACAUAGGUUUUGAUGUAUGCAUGUAAUAAUAUGUAUGUAAAUUAUUUGAGCAGUUGUAUAAAAACUCUUGUAAAAUAUUUUGGUAUGUAAUCAAAUGCAAAUCAUUGUAAUAUAAAUUUGAGAUUUCAUUUACCUGUAUAGUUUUGUAAUAUUAAUUUUUGAGUUUUGUAAUUAAUGAAAUGUUUC
rnacentral:misc_RNA from 1 species